CAUAGUGCCAUUAAAGUGACUAGCGCACAGCCUUGAAACAGUUUCAGAAAGUCUCUCCAUAAACACAGAGUUUCUCAGAAAGAAUCUCAGAGAUGUAUGAAGUUGUGAAAGGUGUGAAUGCUGACACAAAAGUCAGCUCACAAUCACUUUCAGUUUUAGUCCGCACACUUCUCGACCUUAACAACACCGACAAUGAGCAAGGAAUGGAUAGCAUGCUUGAAAAAGCAGCUGAAGAAGAGUCCUUUUUAUUCAAAUGCAAUUCUUGGCUUUUUAAUGGUGGGACUUGAGAAACUCGUGGAGAUGGACUUUGCAUGUCCUUGUAAACCUGCGAUGAACCUGCUGUUUUCUGGAGCAUAUUUUGUGGUUCCUGCUCUGUUCUCCAGUGCACUGAUGUUUUACAUUCAAAGCCCACAGUGCAAAACAAAGUGUCUGCUCUCCACGGUAACCUGCAUCAUUCCAGCUGUUGUUUGGAUCAUGCUGCUGUUCUUUGAUGGACAAUACUUUGCCUGUGCGAAAACCUCCUGGGAAGGACUAACGGUUCACACGGAUAUAUCUGCUUCAACAACGUGGUGUCAGCCUUUGAUCAAUUCUAACAACAUCACUGAAAAGCAAAUGGCAUUUUUUGGCUUUCGAAAUACUUCUCAGAUAGUGGCACUGACCAUGCUGGCUCUGAGCUCUGUGCCCCUAUUUGUAAUUGGAUGUAUGAGGUGUCGCCACCAAACAGCAGGAACCAAAGAACCUGAAGCUGAACAAGUGGAAAUGGAAAUGGAGGAUCCUGGUCAAAGUUCAGCUUCCCCUCGUGAAAGAUCUUCAUUAAUGAACGAGGAUGAACGAAGUGCAUCUUCUGAACAACUGUAAAUACAGAAGCUUUGAACAGAGGUCUUGCAAAGCAUCACUUAAUGUUCACAAAACAACGGCAUUUGUAGCACAUGCUCAUCCAGCUGUACCGCAAAGUGCCUUUGUUUCUCAGACGUCUUGGCAUCAUUGAAAGAAACCACAUCCUGUAAUUUAGUGCACUGUGUUAAGUAACAUGGUGCUCAAGUUUGCUGAGGUGUUUUUUUUUUUUUUUUUUUUUUUUUUUUUUACACUUUUUACACUUUUGGCAUGGUAUACUUUGAAGUUUGUAAAAUAAAAAAAUUAAAAAUACAGUUUGCA
ensembl:lncRNA